GUGAUGUUUAAAGAUCAACCUCUCAAGAAACUCCACACAUUGAGACUUUUCUGAUGUAAUCAUGGAACGACUCCACAUUCUCAGUCAACAAAUGGAAAAAUAUCUACUGCUGUUCUUUCUUACAGCAUCAGGUGUAAUCUGUCAAGACUGGAUUCGACCAAGUGACCAGCGGACCAGCAUUACCAGUACAGAAGGAGACUCUGUAACCCUGGACUGUUCAUAUGACACAAGCAGCAACAAUGUUUUCCUUUAUUGGUACAGAGAGUUUUCCAACACGCAGCCUCAAUAUAUACUGCUUAAAGGUGGACGAUCAGAGACAUAUGAGAACAUACCAGAACCUGAACGAUUUACAUCAACUACAUUACAGAAAUCCACCUCACUGACCAUUAAGAGUGUAACGCUGUCAGAUUCGGCUCUCUAUUACUGUGCUCUAAGAGUAGCAGCCCAGUGAUACAAAGUCUCUGACAGGCUUUACAAAA